CGCAUCACAUUGAAACACCGGUUCUCGUACGAUCACCGAAGUUAAGCCAAUUCGUGCUUGGCCAUUACCUAGAUGGGUGACCGCUUGAAAAUACCAGGUGCUGUAAG